rnacentral:rRNA from 1 species
UACGAAGGGGGCUAGCGUUGCUCGGAAUGACUGGGCGUAAAGGGCGCGUAGGCGGAUUGCUUUGUCGGGCGUGAAAUUCCAGGGCUUAACCUUGGGGCUGCGUUCGAGACGGGUGAUCUUGAGUUCGGAAGAGGGUCGUGGAAUUCCCAGUGUAGAGGUGAAAUUCGUAGAUAUUGGGAAGAACACCGGUGGCGAAGGCGGCGACCUGGUCCGAGACUGACGCUGAGGCGCGAAAGCGUGGGGAGCGAACAGG